rnacentral:lncRNA from 1 species
UUGAAAAAAUUACAAAAAUUGAUUCCAGGUGAGAAUGCGAUCAAUAAAGCCGAUGAAGCCAAAUAAAAUCGUUUUUCUUUGGAAUAGAAAAAAAGUCUAUCUUUAUUUCUUCUUUUGCUGAUAUCUCAAAUUUAGGUUAAAUCAGUGUUUCUCAAAGGGGAGGCCUAUGGGACGGUCGGACAAGUUGUUUUGAGAAAAUUUGGUUUAAAUGUUUGACAACUCAGCACCGUCCAUUGGACUGGGGGUGUUUUGCUCAUAUAUAUAUAUAUAUAUACGGUGGGCUUCUUUCAGUUUCCAUGUACCAAAUCCACUCACAAGGCUUUGGUCGGCCCUAGGCUAUAGUGGAAGACACUGCCCAUGGUGCCAUGCAGUGGGACUGAACCUGGAACCAUGUGGUUGGUAAGCAAGCUACUUACUACACAGCAACUCCUGCACCUAUGUAUAGGGAAAAAAAUAUAUCCUGGAUAUACUGUGGGAUACUUAACCUCAUCCUGUUGCAUGGUGUGCCACAGCAUACAGGUUGCAGUAUACGAGUUGUGACAUACCCAUUGCGGCAUACCAGUUGUGGCAUACCAGUUGUGGCAUAGUGGUUGUGACAUGCUGGUUGUGUGCCACAGCAGACUGGUUGUAGAGCACUGAUAUAACUGACACUCCAUUGGCUAUAUUGACAAGCGUUCCAGUUAAUCUGAUCAAUGGAACAUACACACGUACAUUUAAUAUAGUUCUUGGAGAGAUACAGUAUUACUAAGGCUGGCAUUUUGUAAUACAGGUACAACUUCUUUUUGCCAACUAAGUGAACUGGAGUAACAUGAAAUAAAGUGCCUUGCUCAAGGGUACAACAUGCUACCUGGUAUUGAACUCACUACCUUAUGAUUGUGGGCAGAAUACCCUAACCACUAAGCCACAUGCUUAGGGAUUCACUGAAUCGUAUACAGUUAGUAUCAGUCAGCUCCUCUUGACUUCUGCUGAUGAUAACAAAUGAUGCUGAAGUCCACCAGCCAGGUGUUUUGAACAAAUUAUAGUUAGAAGCCAGUAACAAUUUUCUUUACCAGGUUUUUUUUUUUUUGUCAGCAUUUACCGUAAAACCUCGAGUAUAGUCCACCCUUGAGUAUAAUACACAGGGGAUUUUUAGGGGGCUGUACCCCUGAAAAACCUAAACCUUGUGUAUAAUACGCACCCCUUCUCUAACAUGAGUCAAGGAGGUUUAUAUAACAUCCUUGGUUUGUAAAAAUGUAUACAGUGACGUCCUUUAUUAUUAUUGUACAUAUAACAUAAUGCAAACAUGUAGCUUUUUUGUGCAUUUUGUUUGCAGAAAAUAAAGAAAUAACAGUAAUAACAUUUAAUAAAUGCUGCUUAUAGCAAGUUAUGGAUGAUUCUUUUAUGACUUCAUUGCUUUCAGGCUUAGCUUAAGGUAUUUUCACACCCGACAUCACAAAAUGCAUCUGAAUAAACAUUGCCAGACAGCAAAUAGAGACUCCAGACAUUGCUUAGAAAAUAAUUUUCCUUUUUAACCUUGUAUAUUGUACGCACUAGGGAUUUUGACCUUUAAAUUUUGGGAAAAAAAUGCGGAUUAUACUAGAGGAUUUACGGUACUAUUAGACAUUGUAAAUGAAUGUCUUGUGGGGAUCUCCAUGUAGCUUGGAAGUGAAUUAUUGAUUUUAUAGGAUAAACAUACUAAAGGUGCAAACAUGGGUGUACAGUUAAGAAGGCUGCUUUCCAACCAUGUGGUCUCGGGUUCAGUUCCACUAUGCAACACCUUGGGCAAAUGUCUUCUACUAUGACCCCAAGCAGAGCAAAGCCUUGUGAAUAGAUUUGGUAGAUGGAAACUGAAAGAAGCCCACUGUAUGUGUUUGUGUGUGUAUAUACAUGAGUGUGUCUUUGUGUCUCUGUCCCCCCUCACCACUUGACCAAUGUUGGUGUCUUUACAUUCCUAUAACUUAGCAGUUUGGUAAAAGAAAUGGAUAAAAUAAGUACCAGGCUUUAGAAAACAGUUCUGGGGUCGAUUCAUUCAACUAAAAAUUCUUCAAGGCAGUGUACCAGCAAUUCUAAAUGUAAACAUCUUUUUUUUUUAUAUGUAAUAUUUUUAACCUUAAUAAGAACAAAUGCUAACGUUAUACUUAACCAAAUCAUUUGUUAAAUUAUAUGGAUUGCAACUCCAACCAUUCACUUUGUGUUUUUAGAAAUUUUGCCAGCAAUUUAGGUAGAAGAAUCUGUCACAUCUUAUGAUUAAACCUUAUUUGAUAGAGUAGCAAAUCUAUAUAAUAACGAACUAGCCAACAGUAGUUUUAAGAAAAUAUAUUUUAUAUUAACUUAUACAUUCUAACAAGAAAAUGUAUAAAAGAAAUAUAAUAUGGUUUUUAUCCAUAUCACUCAAUUAAUAUUAUUACUCCAAGUGGAAAGUUAUUCCUUCAUCUUGAAUGAUUAUAUUUCCCUUCCGGAUAUAAAUAUAGAAAAAUCUUCAACUCCUUAACUAUUCAACAUUGACAAACCUGACUAAUACACUGAAUUUACAACAACUACAAUACUAUAAUAAUAAUAAUAAUAAUAUUCCAAGUGGAACAGUAUCCAAUAUUGUGAUGUUGUAGAUUGAAGAUAUUGUGUGUGCCAUGAAGUUACAAGGACUUCAGACAGACAGUACUUUAUGCAGUAUGUGUGCAAUUCCAAGUAAAGCUGAUUUUUGCAAUAACAUGUUCAAGUUGUAACAUAAUGUGUUUAAUUAGCAAUUUUAGAAGGCAGUUCAUAGAUAGAACCCAUUUUCGGUGGUUUCUUAAAGAGAUACGAAUAAAGAAUAUUCAGAAGGCAAGUUUAUAAAACAAAAACAUUGAAAUUUAUUCACUAGUGUAAUGAGCACUAGAAAGUGGUAACAAGGAUUAAUCUUGCAUAUGAAUGGUAACCAAAUAUAUGUUCAUGUGAAACUGGAAAAAAACGCAUGACUUAUUAUAUACACUGAAGUUUGUAUAAAACAGAGUGGAAGCUGAUAUUAAUCAAAUGAGUUGCAUGUAGUUGGUGGUGGACACAGAAAAUGUGCCAUGUCAAAGCGAUGUUGCUUCUAUGCUGUCAAAUCCACAACUGGUUUUAAACUGCCACUUUGCAGCUGUAGUGAAUUCCUUCAGCUAAAGCAGAUCACUGCUGUUUUAUUCAUAUGCCUCCAGCUCUGAUUGGCUGGAAUCUUCCACAGCACAACUGAACUAUCCCACAGCAACAAAAUAGAUCUUUCCUGUCUUGCUACACACACAUACAUACAUAUAUAUUGGGUCAUCCCAUAAAUAAUGUGGUUAUUUUCAAUUGCAUGAACUAAAAGCAGGUAGUAAUUUUACCUUGUCCUUAUUCUUAGUACAAGUUUUGAAGAGUGCAGUUCAAUUUGAGCACUUAUUUUUUCAAAGUUAUAAUGGAAGUGAUAAAAGAGCAUAUUUUGCUUUAUGAGUUCAAUAAAGGCAAUAAUGCAACGGAAAGUGUGAGAAAUUUUAAUGUGGUAUAUGGGGAUCAGACAAUAAGUAAGCCAGUCUCAACAAUGGUUCCAGAAAUUCUGAGCCGGAAACUACAGCCUAGAAAACAAGCCUUGUCCUGGAAGAUCUGUAGAGCUCAACAAGGAUGUCCUGCAGAGCCUCCCAUCGUAACUGUUGAGGAACUAGAAGAGAAGCGUGGAUUUGGUCACUCAACCAUUCAUUGAUACGUGUGUGCCACUGGAAAAGUCAGUAAAUUGAGUCAAUGGGUUCCUCACAAACUUUCUGAGUUUAAUCACACACAAAGAGUGAAUGUGUGCUCUUCUUUGCUGUCACAUCUCACGAAUGAACUUUUUUGGACCGAAUAGUAACUGGUGACAAGAAAUGUGUUCUCUAUAAAAAUGUCAAGUGGGUAGGGAAAAGAGAAACACUGGCACCUCAGGCUAAAGAAGGUUUUCAGCCAUGUAAGCCAUGUUAUCUGUUUGGUGGGAUAUGAAAGGUUUAGUCCACUUUGAACUUUUAAACCCAAACCAAAUGAUAGCAGCUUGAAUGGCCUAAGUCAGCACUAGAAGAAAAACGACCAUCUUUGGUUUCAAAACGAAAGGUAUUCUUCCAUCAGGAUAAUGCUUGGUCACAUACAGCAAGGAUGACAUUCCAAAGGCUGGAGCAGUUUGAAUGGGAAACAAUGCCCCGCCCAUCAUAUUCGCUGGACAUUGCCCCAUCUGAUUAUCAUUUAUUCUGCAGUUUUCAAAAUCAUAUGGAUGGAAAAAAUAUGAAUUCUGUAGAUGAGGUCAGAACAGUACUGGAGGAGUAUUUCUUGUCACGAACAAGUGAAUUUUUGAAGAGGAGUCUUGCAAGUCUACUAGAUAGAUGGAAGAGCAUUGUAGAAAAUAAAGGAGAGUAUAUUUAGAUUAAAAAAGCACUUUGUUUAUCAUAAUUGUGUAAAAAUAAAAGGAGUAUAAAAAACCCACAUUAUUCGUGGGAUGACCCAAUCUCUAUGUAUAUAUUCAGUGCUGAUGCCAUGUAAAAAGCAUCCUCUCUACAUUGUAAAGUGGUUGGCAUUUGGAAAGGCAUCCGUCUGUAAAAACCAUGACAAAACUAACCUUGCCUAUGCUUGUGCCACAUAAAAAGCACUUUGUCCACUCUGCUGGGUGAUUGGUGUUAGGAAGGGUGUCCAGCUGUAAAAACCCUGCCAAAACAAACACCAAAGCCUGGUGCAGGCUCCUGUCAAACAGUCCAACCCAUGCCAACAUGGAAGGCAGACAUUAAACGAUGAUGACGAUGACAAUGAGGAAGAUAAUAUUUGCACAGAAGGUUUCUUUCAGUUUCUGUCUACCAAAUCCACUCACAAGGCUUUGGUGUGCCCAAGGUGCCAUGCUGUUUGACUGAACCCAGAACCAUGCUGUUGGAAAUCAAACUUCUAACCACACCGCUACACUUAUGCCUAUUGUACAUAAGUACAAAGCAAGAAGUCUAACCGAAACUCAAAACCUUAACUCUUGGUUCCUUGAUGAUUUUGCAAUUAUGAAUAAUAAACUUCCUUUCCUCUUAUGUUUAUUUGUUUUCCUUUCUCUCUGGCUGUUUCUUACAUAGCAACAGAAAUUUCUUAUGAUGAUGGGAAAUCAACCAAUCAAAGCUGACAUAAAUCAACUAUGUCACCUGUCAGUGCAAUAAUCAUCAUAAAAGCAGUGAUAAGUUAUUUAGUGGUUGGUGUGUAGCUUUUCAAGAUAGGAGAAACAUCAUCUGAGAAAACGCUUGGCAGACCAGUUGCAUCUGUCACUACUAGUUACCAACAUUAUUACCAUCUUCACAACAUGGCAUCAACAACAGACACCAUUGAGGUCUCCAUCAUUUGUCUUUUCUCAAAAAUUUCACCUGCUGAGUUUUCACUUGUCAUGUAUUUCCAUCUUGACUUGCCCUUGUGAGUGUGUGUUGACACAAUCACACACAGACACAUGCACACACACACACAUACACACACACACACACAAACACACAUGCAUGCUAUAUGUGUGUGUGUUUGUGCAUACACUUGCAUCUGUAUACGUACACACGCAUAUUCCAUUUUUGCAUUUUGUUUGCAAGAUUCUUAAUGUGAUUUCAUGUGUUGAAGCAUAUUUAAUUGUGUCUGGGGAGAGUCAUUCUCUUUUAGUGCCUUAUUAAUUUAAUGCACUCACUGAUUUCCACUCAUUUUUACUAAAAUUUUUGUCACAACAUGCAACCUUUUCAAUAGUCAUUGACUCUGUUAUUGGCAUUGCAUUUUUUGUUUUUGCGCGCAUAUGUGUGCGUCAGUGUAUGUGUGCAUACACAUGUAUGUAUGUAUAUGCAUGUAUGUGUGUGUGCAUGCAUAUACAUAUGUAUGCAUGUAUGCACAUUUGUAUGUAUGUAUGUACUCUGCAUGUUUGUGUGUAUGCAUGUAUGUGUGUGUAUAUGUAUAUGUAUAUGUGCAUGUUUGUAUGUAUUAUAGUACAGUUUAACUCUUUAGCAUUUAAACUGGCCAUGUUCAGCCCAAAUUUUCUAUGUGUUUCAUAAUCAAACCAACAAGAUCCUGCCUCUCACACCUAUCCUACAAUGUCAUUCUAAAAAUAGAUAAUACAUUAUCAAAAUUUCAAAGCUAUGGGAUAAUACAUUGUUAGUUCAAAACAAUGUGAAUAAAUAAGCAUUAUAUUUAACACGAUAAUCUGAAUACUAGAUGCUUCAUUGGGUAUUCACUUCCUGUUUUUUUUUAAAAUUUUAUUUUGCUUGGAUACUAUUGUUUUCUUGGGAUAUGGCUAACAUUGCAGUAUACCUUCAUUCUAUUUAUAUUGCAGCUUUCAUUAUACACUUUAGCAAUGUCAUAGCAACACACCAUAUGCAUACCAUAUUAUACAUUUAUCUUAUGUUACAUGUUUCUAAGUCUUCAAUUGAAAAUGUUCCAGAAUAAUUUCUUUACAUGAUUCUACAUGGAUAAUUUGAAUUUUUAACAAAUAUUUUGAGGCAUUAAAUCAAGAUGCAUCAGGCAGAGAUUGCAUUUCUUUGGUCAGUUUGAAUAAAAGGGUCUCAGUUUGAAUGAUACUAUGGCUUAUAAGAGAUGUUGAUUUUAUUCUCUUUCAGUUUUCAGAUGUAUUGGGAGAAAGAAGUGGAGUUUAUUUUAGUGGUGCUUCUUAAGGAAUAAGUGUGCUGUAUGCAUCUGAUUUUAAAUGCAUUUCUCAUUAAUCUUAUGUACCUCCAUUUAGUACUAUGUAUAGUUUUACUCUUGCACAUGUGCUUCAAGUGCCUUUACGAGGCAAUUGCAGUUAUGUAGGGAGAUUAUGAUAUUGCAAUCACAUUCUGGAAGACUAGUUGUGCGUUUCAGUGUCUGUUGUAGUAGUUGUGGUUGAAUAUUUGAGAUCUGAUAUUAAGUAGCUGUAUCUAGCAUUUUUCAUUAUUCUAAUUUAAGGGCUAAUAAUAGGUAUUUAUUUUAAAAAUGUUUACUUACCAGAGCAGUAGCUGUGUUAGUUAUUAUGUCUAUGCCACAGGCCAAGCCAGUUGAUUUUUUUCCCCAUUUCAAUAGGUUUUUGGAAAAUCUCUGCACAUUCUAGUUUUUCUUUGUAUCCACUUCAUACAAAUGCAUCAUUAGAGUAGAGUGCAGCUCAGGUGGGUAUUUUCCUGUUAGAGUAAUUUGGAUCGUCUUCUACUUACAUUGACUCAUAGGUUGUUUAUCAUUUUGAGGUUAUGUCUAAAGUUUUUGUUAAUAUUAGUUACAUCAUCUCACAUUUGGUUUCCUGAAAUGGUAUAUAUAUAUAUAUAUAUAUAUAUAUAUAUAUAUAUAUGUAACAGGCGGCGAGCUGGCUGAAACGUUAGCACGCCAGGCGAAAUGCGGAGCCGUAUUUCGUCUGCAGUUACGUUCUGAGUUCAAAUUCCGCCUAGGUCGAGUUUGCCUUUCAUCCUUUCGGGGUCGAUAAAUUAAGUACCAGUUACCCACUGGGGUAGAUGUAAUCGACUUAAUCCAAUUGUCUGUCCUUGUUUAUCUCCUCUGUGUUUAGCCCCUUGUGGGUAGUAAAGAAAUAGGUAUAUAUAUAUAGAUAUAUAUAUAUAU